CUUCAUUCACCUCCUAGUCAAAGAUGGAUCUGCAAAUCUUAGUUUUUCUUCUGUUCAUUCUUUUCACUGCAGGACACUCUCUCCGCUGUUACGAGUGCAAGAGUAUGACGGGUUCUUGUGCAGGACAAACGGUAAAAACAUGUCCCAGUGGAUCUUCUCAGUGCAUGAGUUCAACAGCAGUUACGCAAAUCAGUGGCAUUGCUUCUAAGGUGUAUGUUAAAGAUUGUGCUCCUGCCUCCUGUCAAAGUGUGUCUAUGAACAUAAACAUCCUAAAGAUGACCUGCUUCCUGCUGUAACACGAACCAGUGCAACGUCCAGGAUGAUCCAGAUCCCAGCACUGACGUCCCAAAUGGAAAGACAUGUUUCUCUUGUGAUGGAGAGAGCUGCUCAAACAUAUUGAGCUGUUCAGGGAAUGAAGACCGCUGCGUUAAAGCAACAGGUGCUUUUGGAGGCCAGCCAGUGGUUGUGAAAGGCUGUGUCUCUAAAUCUAUUUGUGAUGCCUCGUCAUCGGUUCCUAAUGUUGAGGGCAUCUCGUGUUGUGAGGGGAACCUGUGUAAUGGUGCUCAGAGUGC